GACGAACGCUGGCGGCGUGCUUAACACAUGCAAGUCGAACGAAAAGAGGGAAAGAGCUUGCUCUUUCCGGAAUUGAGUGGCAAACGGGUGAGUAACACGUAAACAACCUGCCUUCAGGAUGGGGACAACAGACGGAAACGACUGCUAAUACCGAAUAAGUUCCAAGAGCCGCAUGGCCCAUGGAAGAAAAGGUGGCCUCUACCUGUAAGCUACCGCCUGAAGAGGGGUUUGCGUCUGAUUAGCUGGUUGGAGGGGUAACGGCCCACCAAGGCGACGAUCAGUAGCCGGUCUGAGAGGAUGAACGGCCACACUGGAACUGAGACACGGUCCAGACUCCUACGGGAGGCAGCAGUGGGGAAUCUUCCGCAAUGGGCGAAAGCCUGACGGAGCAACGCCGCGUGAGUGAUGACGGCCUUCGGGUUGUAAAACUCUGUGAUCCGGGACGAAAAGGCAGAGUGCGAAGAACAAACUGCAUUGACGGUACCGGAAAAGCAAGCCACGGCUAACUACGUG
rnacentral:rRNA from 1 species